GAUGAACGCUGGCGGCGUGCUUAACACAUGCAAGUCGAACGGGAAAUAUUUCAUUGAGCCUUCGGUGGAUUUGAUUUAUUUCUAGUGGCGGACGGGUGAGUAACGCGUGGGUACCAUGCCUUAUACAGGGGGAUAACAGUCAGAAAUGGCUGCUAAUACCGCAUAAGCGCACACAGCUGAACGUCUCAGUGUGAAAAACUCCGGUGGUAUAAGAUGGACCCGCGUUGGAUUAGCUGGUUGGUGGGGUAACGGCCCACCAAGGCGACGAUCCAUAGCCGGCCUGAGAGGGUGAACGGCCACAUUGGGACUGAGACACGGCCCAGACUCCUACGGGAGGCAGCAGUGGGGAAUAUUGCACAAUGGGGGAAACCCUGAUGCAGCGACGCCGCGUGAAGGAAGAAGUAUCUCGGUAUGUAAACUUCUAUCAGCAGGGAAGAUAGUGACGGUACCUGACGAAGAAGCCCCGGCUAACUACGUG
rnacentral:rRNA from 1 species